rnacentral:rRNA from 1 species
UGCCCAGAUCACGGGGAUAACGGUUGGAAACGACAGCUAAGACCGGAUAGGUGGUGACGAGGCAUCUUGUCAUCAUGAAAAGAGCUGAAAGGCUCUGGAGCUGGAUGGACCUGCGGCGCAUUAGCUAGUUGGUGAGGGUAACGGCCCACCAAGGCGAUGAUGCGUAGCCGGCCUGAGAGGGUGCACGGCCACAUUGGGACUGAGACACGGCCCAGACUCCUACGGGAGGCAGCAUG